rnacentral:sRNA from 1 species
GUCAGGCGUGGUGGCACACGCUUGUAAUCCUAGCAGCUCUGGAGGCUGAGGCAGGAGGAUCAUGAGUUCAAAGCCAGCCUCAGCAACAGCAAGCUGCUAAGCAACUCAGUGAGAUCUUGUUUCUA